rnacentral:rRNA from 1 species
UACGUAGGGACCGAGCGUUGUCCGGAAUCAUUGGGCGUAAAGAGCUCGUAGGCGGUCUGUCGCGUCUGCUGUGAAAACUCAGGGCUUAACCCUGAGCUUGCAGUGGGUACGGGCAGACUAGAGUGCGGUAGGGGAGACUGGAAUUCCUGGUGUAGCGGUGAAAUGCGCAGAUAUCAGGAGGAACACCGGUGGCGAAGGCGGGUCUCUGGGCCGUAACUGACGCUGAGGAGCGAAAGCAUGGGGAGCGAACAGG